rnacentral:misc_RNA from 1 species
UAAAUGUAGCGCAUGCGUUCUAUCUCAAAAACUCAUCGGCCAUAUUGGUGUGUUGUUUCAUUCGCCCAAUAAUUCUGAACUUAAAUAAGCUUACGUUGGAAGAUGACGGAUUCAAUGAAAUUUGGUCCCGAGUGGUUGCGCAACUUGUCAGGAGAUGGUUGCAGUGCUGGCGGGGGAGGGGGAGGACCUGGUAUCCUUACCACCCCCCGUUAUCAGCUUGCUGAGCAUAGAUAUGGUCGUGAAGAGAUGCUGGCUCUGUUUGACCGGAAUUGUAAGCCCCCUGAACCUCUUGUUACUUUUCCUGCCCUCUACAUCGUACAAGCCCAACAACCUUUGGCACUCACACCAAUGACAGAAGAGGAAGCGCGUUCCUGGAAUAGUGGGUUAACAAACAACGUGGGUCGUGGAAGAGGUGGGAGUGUAGAUCGAGGAGGACGAGGCAGGGGUGGCAGAGGCAUUUAUCCAGGUCAUUACUCUCGAGGUGUCGUUUUCGAUGAACCAGGUGACGGAGUGAGAGCCGAGACACAGUCUUUCCAGGGACGAAGUAGACCAUUCGACAGAUCACAGAGUGAAAGAGGCUGGUCGGAACGAAAUGGAGGACCUGAACCUGGAGACUGGAAUGGUUCUACUAGUCCUAGAAAGGAAUUGGGACGUGGAGGAGUCGGUGGGUCGUUUAUGGAAGGCAAUUGGCGACGACAACGUGCCGGUGAAGAUGACGAUGGAUGGAGAGUCGCUUCGGGUAAUCGUGGCGAUAAGUGGGUCAGAGGUAGCUGGAGAGAUGGUGGUGGCUCUGAGAGAGGUGAUCGAUUAGACAGACCAGAUGGCGUAGAUGGCGAAGAGGUGAGAAGUGGUAGUACACGUUGGGAGCACAGAACCAGUCAUAGGUCUUCCCAUGAUUCUGUGCAUCAUCCCCCUACCCGCUCUCUUCGCACUUGGGAACCCAAUCAUCAUGACAACCAUGACAACCUUCCUGAAUGGUCUUAUUCUUGUAGGGCAACCGAGAAUCCUAACGAGAGCGGUGGCAGUUUUGAUGCGUCAGGAGCAUUCCAUGGUGGCAUGUAUUCUGACGAUGAUGAAGAUGGAAUAAUUAGUGCUGGUGGAAAUCGAGAAACCAGGAUUAGGCACUUGUCAGAAGGGAAUAAUUUAAGCAACUCUAAGCCUUUAUCCAAAUCCUUACUUCAUAACCAAGGACCAAUUUCCAGUCGUCGUAUCAGUGCGACGACGAAUGCUUUAAUUCGAGAACGACCUAAAUCCCUGCAACCCUUUGAGGACAAGGAAAGUUCUGAAGAGCAGGAAAAACGCAGCGUCUCACCGCCAAAGCCAUUAUCUACUCCAAAUAAUACACCGAUUAAAAGUUCACCACCACCUGUAGUUGACAUUACGCCUAGAAAAGUGCAAAGUCCCACCAACUUGGACAAAGUGAUCGAUAAAAAUCCUUUGCAAAUUGAACAAAAUUCGAAAUCCUCUGGUGAAAUAGCAGUCAAAAAAGUUAGAACUACUGAGACCAGAAGUGAAACGUCAGUUAUUAACAAUGAAAAGCCACCGUUACAUUCCGGAUUAAAAAAGAGUAAAAGUACCUUGGGAAUGAUGUCGGCCACUAACGUCAGACAAAGGUCUGAAGAAGAUCUAGACAGAAUGAAAGAAGAAGCCGACGCGUUAGUGGCCAAAUUAAUGGCUGAUGAGGAAAUUCAUAAAGACCAACGAUCCAGUGUUCCACCUUCGGUCAAUAAUCAGGUUCCUGGAAUCCCUUCUGGACAGGAAAAGUGGUUUUAUCGAGAUCCUCAAGGUGAGGUACAAGGACCGUUUUUGGCCAGUGAAAUGUCCGAAUGGUUCAAAGCUGGAUACUUUAAUGUCAAUUUGCUAGUUAGAAGAGCCUGCGACAAUAGGUAUUCCAUGCUUGGGGAUCUCAUUAAAAUGUGGGGCAGAGUACCGUUCAUGCCAGGACCACCUGUACCUCCAUUAAAGGUUACUGAGCCAGUAGCUAUCCCAGUACCAGUUGGGAUUCCCAGUGCCCUGCCAAAAGCUGGUAUGGAAGACCCGUUAGUCCUGUAUCAGUAUCAACAAAUGUGCAUGUUGCAAAAUCAGCUAGUCCUUCGACAUGUGCGCUCCACCAUUGUUGCAAAGUUAUCACAAUCUGAACAAUGGGCAUCUAUGAGUCCUGCCGAUCAAAAUCAACUGAUUUAUCAACACAUGCUGCAGCAGCCUGAAAUGGCAGAGAUAUCACCCAUUGCUGUCAACCCUUUUGUACCUACCCUAACUGCACAGCCAGCUAAUUCUAUAAUGCAAUUAUUCACACAGAUACAGCAGGCGAAAACGCAAUCUGAAAAUCAACUUCCACCAUCUAUGCAUCCCACAACACCAACACCCGCAGGAACGAUAGAUCCUGUCCAACAGCUCAUCCAACAAAUGGGAGGGAUACAAAAUCUUCAUGGAAUGCAACAGCCAAAUAUGACACCUGCAUCUACUGCUACACCUGAAGAUAAUCCGAUUAAAUCGUUGUUACGACAGCUCAACGUUAACGGACAUCCGCAACCCACACAAAUCGAGUCAGUUUGGCCGCUUCCUCCGCCCCAAAUUGCACCACCUCAAUUCGGAACAUCAAAUUGGCAAUCCCAGAUGGGCCCUAUUCCUGCCAUGCCCCCUGGUCAAUUGCCUAAUUCUUUGUGGGACUUACAUACUAAAGACAUGAAGACUGAACACCAAAUACUAGAGGAGCAGAAACUGAGGUUACAAGAAGAAAAGAAAAAGGAUGAACUCAAAAAACGAGAAGAACUCGAAAGACAAGCAGAGGAAGAGAGUGCGAAGAAAAAACUAGAAGCAGCGAAAAAAGCUCGAAUAGCCGAGGAAGCAGCCAAGCGCACAGAAGAGGAAAGAAAAAAGAGAGAAGAAGAAAAAAAAAGAAAGGAGGAGGAAAAGCGCAAACAAGAGGAAGAGUUGAGAAAGAAGGAAGAGAAGAAACGCAGGGAGGAGGAAAGAAAACGUGAAGAAAAGCGAAAACAAGACGAGGAAAAUAACCGAAAGAAACAGGAGGAGGAAAAAAGAAAGAAAGAUGAAGCCAAAAAACUAGAAGAAAAACAGAGAAAAGAGGAGGAAAAGAGAAAGAGGAUAGAAGAAGAACAAAAACGAGAGGAAGAAGAUCGAAUUAAGAAAGAAGAAGAGGCCCGCAGAAAGGUAGAAGUUGAAGAGCAAGCUAAACGAGCGGAGCAAAGAAGACGAGAGGCAGAGGCACUCAGGAAGUUACAAGAACGUAGUAAGGCCCCUUGGGCACAAACGCCACAUGCGCCACCUCCAUCUACUCAUGCUUCCCUUGCUGAAAUACAAAGGCUCGAACGAGAAAAGAAGGCUGAGGAAUUGCGAGUCCAGCAACUGAUGCAACAACAAUUAGCACAGCAGAGAGCUGCGGAAGUAGCUCAGGAAGCAGCGGCAACAGAAAUUUCGAAGGGUCUGCAGUUAAAAUGGGCUGAAAAAGCUGCUCCAGUUUCUAAGCCUUUGGUCAAAAGUCUUGCUCAGAUUCAGCAAGAAGAACAGGAGCGCCUCGCCAAGGUAAAGCAGCAAGAACGGGAAAGACAAGAAAAAGCUGCACAAAAAGAACCAGUUGUUGCACUACAAAGUGUUGGUAUUUGGGGAACAGCUGCACAAUCUCUAAACUGGACGAACGCCGGUGCUAACAAUCAGGCUUGGUCUAAUAGCAGCGGUACUGGUGGUUUUUGGGACGAUCUAACGCCGCCUAAAGCUACGUUGACUCCUAAGCAGUCCGCCAAACAAUCAGCAACUGCCAAGGCUUCCGCCAAUCCCGUCCAGCAACAACAACAAAACAAUAAAGCAACUAAAAGUAAAACCAAGAAGGACGAAGAGCUGGUGAAAAAGUCUUUUGAACAGAACACUGCCAAAUCAGACGACUUCACUCAGUGGUGCAGCAAAGCACUGGGUGGUCUUCAAGCAUCUAUUGAUAUUCCAACGUUCGUUGCCUUUUUACGUGACAUUGAAUCGGCCUACGAGGUCAAAGAAUAUGUCCGAUUGUACCUGGGCGAUAACAAGCAGUGCAGUGAAUUUGCUAAGCAGUUCUUAGAGAAACGUAGUAAGUGGCGAUCUGCUCAACGGCCACAUCCUCAAGCUGAUGACUUAUGCAAACCUGCUCCAGCUGUUAAUCCCAAUGCAACGACUACAGAAUUUCAGGAAGUCAAGGGAAAAGCAAAAAAAACAAAAAAAGGAAAAAUGUUCAAAGUGGACAGCAGGAUUCUUGGGUUUAGCGUCACUGCUGCUCCAGAUCGCAUCAAUGUUGGUGAUCGCGACUACGGAGAGGGCGUCUGAACACAUAGCUUGGAGUCUGUCAACCCCCAACUUUAUCCAUGCUCGAGAAAGUCAUGCUACACUUGAAUCGUUUGACAUUUCCUCGGAUUAGAGGGCUGCCAAUUUUGUUGUCGCUCAAACUUCGAUGCUUGGCAAAAUAUGUAUGCAGUAGAGUUUCCAGACAUCUUUGAUUUGGAUGAGCUAUUCUCAAGUUGGUUGAAUAAUAUGCGAUUUGCAAGGUCGGUCAUAUUUUUUAGAAAAUUUUCUCAAUUAAAGUUUUUAAAAACAAUAUCUCCAUCUUCGAAAAUUUAAUUUAUCAACAUUGACUCACUUGAACUGUAAAAAUCAUGGAAUGAUUGUUCGUUGAUAUCUAUUCGCAAAGUUAAAACUGUUUCAUUGUCAAUGAAAAAGUGUAACUGAUGUCUUACGAUCAAAUGAAAAAUACAGUAAAAUAAAUUAUUGACUACGGUGA